GUUUGCAUAGCACUCUGGACUCUGAAUCCAGCGAUCCGAGUUCAUAUCUCGGUGGAACCU
rnacentral:tRNA from 1 species